GGCUCAGUGUUCUGUAGAAGAUGGAAGUAAAAUGGGUGCGUGUGGACUCUGCCGUUAGCCUGCCUGGGACUUUGUGACCGUCAGUCACCGUGGCGACUGUGACAGCCUCUGAGACCAGUUAGGCCACAAGAACUCAGCAGUCUCCCCAGCUCCCGUGCCCCUUCAGUUGCACUCAUUCACGCAGCCAAGUGGACGUGCCUGCCCAGACAGCCGGAGUGAAGAUAGUUACUGGGCCCGAGGGAGAAAAGCCCCACCAUCUCUGGGACAUUGUCGCAGGCCUGUGGGAAGGAAUUGUCACAGAAAUUGCAUUGGACCCACAGAUCAACUCAGGCAGACUUGACAUCCUAAUAAUAUUGAGUGUGUCUAUUCACAAAUGAGGUAAUUCUUUCCAUUUACUUAGGCCUUUAAAAAAUUCCCUUAGUAGAGCACCUGGUGCCUCAGUCGGGUUAAGCGUCCGACUUCGGCUCAGGUCAUGAUCUUGCGGUUCGUGGGUUCGAGCCCCGCAUCGGGCUCUGUGCUGACAGUUCAGAGCCUGGAGCCUGCUUCAGAUUCUGUGUCUCCCUCUCUCUUUGUCUCUCCUCCACUCAUGCUCUGUUUCUCUGUGUCUCUCAAAAAUAAAUAAAAAACGUUAAAAAGUGUAAAAAAAAAAAAAAAAAGAAUCUCGUUUAAAGAAUUCCCUUAGCAAUGUUUGCAUGUUUUAUAAAAUUCAGUAUAGAAGACUUGCACAUCUGUCAUUAAUUUUAUUCCCAGGUAUUUGAUGAUAUUGUAAACGAUAUUUUUUUAUUGUGAUAAGAAAGACAUAACACAAAAUUUAUCAUUGGAACCAUUUUAAAAUGUCCCCUUCAGUGGCAUUAAAUACAUUCACAUUGUUGUGCUACCAUCACCUACCUGCACCCCUUUUUUUUGAGCUGGAAGUCUGUACCCAUUAAGAAAUAACUGCCCAUUCCU